rnacentral:rRNA from 1 species
UACGUAGGGUGCAAGCGUUGUCCGGAAUUAUUGGGCGUAAAGAGCUCGUAGGCGGUUGUCGCGUCUGCUGUGAAAACCCGAGGCUCAACCUCGGGCCGCAGUGGGUACGGGCAGACUAGAGUGCGGUAGGGGAGAUUGGAAUUCCUGGUGUAGCGGUGGAAUGCGCAGAUAUCAGGAGGAACACGAUGGCGAAGGCAGAUCUCUGGGCCGUAACUGACGCUGAGGAGCGAAAGCGUGGGGAGCGAACAGG